CAGUGGCGAAGGCGUCUCACCAGAACGGACCUGACGGCAAGGGACGAAAGCUAGGGGCACGAACCGGAUUAGAUACCCAGGUAGUCCUAGCCGUAAACGAUACUCGCUAGGUGUCGGCCACGGUGCGACCGUGGUCGGUGCCGUAGGGAAGCCGUGAAGCGAGCCACCUGGGAAGUACGGCCGCAAGGCUGAAACUUAAAGGAAUUGGCGGGGGAGCACUACAACGGGUGGA
rnacentral:rRNA from 1 species